rnacentral:rRNA from 1 species
AGAGUUUGAUCCUGGCUCAGAACGUACGCUGGCGGCACGCCUAACACAUGCAAGUCGAACGAAGUAGCAAUACUUAGUGGCAGACGGGUGAGUAACAUGUAGGUAUCUACCCUUUGGCCUGGGAUAACACGAGGAAACUUGUGCUAAUACCGGAUAAGUCUUUACGGAGAAAGCUUUAUGCACCAUUGGAUGAGCCUGCACUUGAUUAGUUUGUUGGUGGGGUAAUGGCCUACCAAGACUGUGAUCAAUAGCUGAUUUGAGAGGAUGAUCAGCCACAUUGGGACUGAGACACGGCCCAAACUCCUACGGGAGGCAGCAGUGGGGAAUCUUGCACAAUGGAGGAAACUCUGAUGCAGCGAUGCCGCGUGAGUGAAGAAGGCCUUUGGGUUGUAAAGCUCUUUCGUCGGGGAAGAAAAUGACUGUACCCGAAUAAGAAGGUCCGGCUAACUUCGUGCCAGCAGCCGCGGUAAUACGAAGGGACCUAGCGUAGUUCGGAAUUACUGGGCUUAAAGAGUUCGUAGGUGGUUGAAAAAGUUAGUGGUGAAAUCCCAGAGCUUAACUCUGGAACUGCCAUUAAAACUUUUCAGCUAGAGUAUGAUAGAGGAAAGCAGAAUUUCUAGUGUAGAGGUGAAAUUCGUAGAUAUUAGAAAGAAUACCAAUUGCGAAGGCAGCUUUCUGGAUCAUUACUGACACUGAGGAACGAAAGCAUGGGUAGCGAAGAGGAUUAGAUACCCUCGUAGUCCAUGCCGUAAACGAUGUGUGUUAGACGUUGGAAAUUUAUUUUCAGUGUCGCAGCGAAAGCGAUAAACACACCGCCUGGGGAGUACGACCGCAAGGUUAAAACUCAAAUGAAUUGACGGGGACCCGCACAAGUAGUGGAGCAUGUGGUUUAAUUCGAAGAUACGCGCAGAACCUUACCAACACUUGACAUGUUCGUCGCGACUCUAAGAGAUUAGAGUUUUCGGUUCGGCCGGACGAAACACAGGUGCUGCAUGGCUGUCGUCAGCUCGUG